GGCAGCAAGAUGCUGAGCUGCUCUGAGGAGAGGAAGGCACACUGCUGUGUCCACUUACCUGUCACUUUGGGGAUACCCUGAAGCCGAGGGACUGGCAGGGCCACCACAACCCCCAGGCUGGUACCAACCAUGAGCAAGCCGUGGCAGACAAGCAGGCUGGUCACAGACAGACGCUGGUGCCCUGGGAGAGAGAGAGAGAGAGAGAGAGAGAGAGAAGUGUUCGAUGCCCUGCCCCUUGCUCAGGUGGCAGUGCUGGGUAGAGAGCAGAGGGCAGAUGUGAAGCUGGGGAAUGCUUCGAACAGAACAUAAAGGCCAGUCUCCUGAGUCUCCUAAGCCUCGUGGCAGGAUGGGCUGUUAGGAUGCUCACACCUGUGUCCUGAGCCUUCCUCCACCAGAAGAGAAAGACAAGGAAACUUGGCCCUUUUACUUGACUGCAUCACUUCCGGAGGCUGUAUCUGCUCCACGGGGACACGGGAGGGACCCAGUUGGGCUUUAACAGUGACAUGAAAGGACACUUGCCUGUGUGCACACACGCUUGCAUGUGCACUUACCACAAUCCAUCAGUGGCUCAGACACUCAGGCCUCGGUGCUCUGAAACACUGCCUUUAUUCUAUCUAAACCACAGUGUGUCUGUGCCGGAGAUCAGAACGGCCCACAAGGCACAUUCUGGGAUGUUGGGAACUACCGUUGGACAUGGGAGACAGUACCCUGUCCUUGCUCUGGCGGAGCUCGGCUGGGUUAGCCUUCCCCAGUGACCGGGCUGAGGAUAGCUCCACAUGACCACUGGGUGAGCACUGGAGGCUGCGAGCCUGACAAGGCCUCCCAUAGGUAGAGUGGGAGUGAAUUAACAUCGGGCACACGAUGCUUCCCCGUCCACCCUGGUCAGACACGCCUGUCUGCCCCACCCACACACGGAUAAGAAGCACACCAACGAGCUACACGGAAGCAGAUCAAGACCCGUGACAGAGGGUCCCCCGGGCUGUGUCCAACUUGACUUGUAUCAGUCCAUCGACCACAACUGCGACCAAAUAUCUGACAUUAGCAACUUAAAAGGAUGAUUGACUCUGGCCUGUGUUUUCAGUAGCUCCUGGCAAGCCAGCAUAUGACAGAAGGGCGUGUGGAGGAAGGCUGUUCAUCUCAUGAUAGCUGGGAAAGGUUAGGAGUUGUGUGGGGGAGUGAGGGGGCAUCUGUCCAAGGCAUUUCUCCAGCAACACGCCUCCUCUGGCUGGACCCCAUUUCCCAGUUUCUACUACCUCUCAACACCAUCAAAGUAUGAGUCGUCUCUGACAGAAACUGCAGGGGGGUGAACACAGGCAGCCCACCCCCCAACCCUCACCCAUCCACCGCUACUCCCGGCCUUGGGAAGGCAGUGUGGCCCAGACACAUUCCUGCGGUUGGUUCUCAGGAUUCCAGGAACCAUGGCAACCACAGCUGCUUCCCUGGAGGCCACAGGGCACCAAGUCAGGAUCUGGGGCCCAGAAGUCUUUAUCACAGAACAGUCUAACUCCUGUCCCUUUCCAUGUCAAUAGGGAGUGCAGGGCAUUCUCUCUGGCCAGAUGCAAGCAUGCACCGGCAGCUGGUGGUUCUGACAUGGUUUCUAAGGGCAAGGAUAGAGUCCAACAGCAAACACCUGUCCAGAGGGCUAAUACUUAAAAAGGUCAGGUCCAAAGAAGCAUGCUUCAGGGGCCAGCCUUGAUGCUGAAUCAGUUUUAUCUUCUAAAAAUAAAACCCCCAUUUUCCUAACUAAAUAAAAUAGACUACAAUCCCA